rnacentral:rRNA from 1 species
CCUACGGGUGGCAGCAGUGAGGAAUAUUGGACAAUGGUCGGAAGACUGAUCCAGCCAUGCCGCGUGCAGGAUGACGGCCUUAUGGGUUGUAAACUGCUUUUGUAAGGGAAGAAUAAGAGCUACGCGUAGUUUGAUGACGGUACCUUAUGAAUAAGCAUCGGCUAACUCCGUGCCAGCAGCCGCGGUAAUACGGAGGAUGCGGGCGUUAUCCGGAAUCAUUGGGUUUAAAGGGUCUGUAGGCGGGCUUGUAAGUCAGAGGUGAAAGCGCUUAGCUCAACUGAGCAACUGCCUUUGAAACUGUUGGUCUUGAAUGGUUGUGAAGUAGUUGGAAUGUGUAGUGUAGCGGUGAAAUGCUUAGAUAUUACACAGAACACCGAUAGCGAAGGCAUAUUACUAACAAUUAAUUGACGCUGAUGGACGAAAGCGUGGGGAGCGAACAGGAUUAGAUACCCUAGUAGUC